ACAAACGUCACGAACACGAACUAACUCUGCUUUACGGUUCUCAGACAAAACACUGUCCACCGGUACAUUAAAGCGGCGGCAAACGUUUUCUAUUAAUAAAUAAGGAUCAAAGCUCUUUUUGUGGAACUUCUCAAAUUCCUCAAACAGGAUUUCCUUUAGAUUGUCGUUGUUAAUCAGGUUUUGCUUAGUUGUUUUGACAUAAAACAGCAACUUAGUCGCAAUCCCGUUUAAAGAACGAACAUCGUUACCAGAUAUUUGCGCUGCCUUUUCGCGUGCUUCAUUGGUAAUUUGGAUGUUGGGAUCCUUUUCUUUGAGCUUAACGGCCAAAAUUUCACACAGGGAGCUCAAAUUGUGUUUUUCAAUCUUUAACAAGAGUCCCGAUUUAAAGCGUGAUACCAUCCGUGGAUCGAUGUUGGCCAACUCAUCGGGGGUUUUAUCGGACACAAACACAAUUUGCUUGCCCUUACUUACUAAGUUAUUAAAGAUGGAAAAGAGGAUCUCUAAGGUUUUUUCCUUUUUCCCGAAGAUCUGAGUAUCGUCAAUUAAGAGUAAAUCCAAUGACUCGUAAGCAGCCUUGAGCUUUUCAAUGCCUUGAUCCUUUUCCUUUUGGUAAAAGGCAUUGACAACCUCCUGGGCAAAGUCACUCGAUACCACAUACUUUACCUUAGCGUUGGGAAAGUGGAAGAACUUAUCAUUCCCAAUCGCUUGGAGUAAGUGGGUUUUACCCAGACCAGUCUCCCCAUAGAUAAAUAAGGGGGAGAAAUCAGCGUCCUGAGUUUCGCUAAUCCGUACACCCGCUUCAUAAACCCGGCGGUUGCCAUCACCAACCACAAAGUUUUUAAAGGUAAAGUUUUUGCUUAGCCCCGAACUUUGG
rnacentral:sRNA from 1 species